rnacentral:snRNA from 1 species
AGAAUGACUUAAGGAUCUGGCUGUGACAUCUGUCGCCCCCACUGAUCGCCAGAGGUGAUUUGGUUGAUAUGGCUGGCUAGGCGCCUGUCCCCUUCUUCCACCACCGCUCUAUGUGCAUCCCUCUGGAAGCUGUGCUCUCGGGGGGUGAUGAGGACAACCGUCCCCGAACAGAGGGAGAUGGGUCUUUGGUCAAGCAAAUACAGAGUAGCUACACACCAAACAAGCUCUCAAGAAAUGUAUUUCUUAACGAGCUAAAACGACAUACUAAUGGUUUCUAAUCAAAUUG